GCCUAGACGCUUCCUUUAUAGGUCAGUAAAAGCCUUGUUAUAUGUUUGUAGAGUCAGCAGAAAAAGCUGGCUUUCUUCAUAGCCUGAACCAGUGCAAUCCUGAAGCUUUCUGAAGUCACUGAGAUAAAGACCAGGCCCUGAGAGAGAGCACAAAAAAUACACUUAAAUGCAUGGCUCUGGCCCUUGGAUACAUAAAAAUAUUUUGAACAAAGUGGUGGAGGGAAAAAUUAGAAUGCUGUGCCUCCAUCCAGACCACACCAGACAGCUUAGCAUUGCUCUAGGAUGUAAAUGUUGCUGUCAGGGAUGAAUUCUGGUGUGUCCCCAUCACAGCAGAACAUGCAACACCCAUGUCUGAAGCCCAGCCAGUGAGGCCACCUGAGGAGUGUGCUGAGCUGGAGAAUGAGGAAAGGCUGUACAGCUUUUUUUCCACAACAGAGGGCAAGGUUCCUCCACCCCUGCUCUGCCUCUGAGAUGUCAAAAGGUAUCUAUAUGCGAUUACUUUUAGGUCACUUGCUUCCUUCUAGCUGGUAUCUAAGGACCACAGGUUGGAUCACUGUGUGGGAUACGCCUGUAAUACUUGCAGGGUAUUGUGUAGUUUUCAAUCUGUCUCUCUUUAUCUUGCCUGAACAGCUUAAUCUGGUUUCACCAUGUUUCUUUUUCCAGACUGUGCUUUUUCUUGCUUGCAGGGUAUUGUUGCUGAGGGCAGCUGGAAGACAAUCAGUUUCACAGCCCAUGAUACAGUUUUCAGGAAACUUGUGACUCUUUAACAUCUACAUUGCAAGGAGCCAUCACCUGCUGUGAGGAAUGAGAGAACAAUGAGCAAUCCAUGUAGGAAAGGUGGGGAAAGCACACUGGUAUGUUAAAAAUUUGAAUUUGUCACACCAGAAUGCAGCUGGCAGGAGUGACAAGCUCAGGAGCGUGUGUGAGUCCUUGGACUCAGAGGACCUGAUUGUUAGUGGUGGUUUUCUGUUGCUUCAUGAAGUCUCCAACAUUAGAUUUUCAAUCUCUGUCACACUUUCCAACCCCCUUUUCAAGCACUGCCUGAGGGCUCUCUCUUGUGCAUGCCUUCUUUGUUCCCAUGCCCUGUCUGUCCUGAAUGAAAAGCUUCUCACUCAUGCCAGAAAGACAUUUCUAAAAUUACCAAGGAGGAACUGUGCCAGGCGGGUACUUCUAUGCAUGACUGUGCUGGGUGAGUCUUGUUACCCCAGAAGAGUUCUCACUAUGUUCAUCCUGGGAAACUUCUGCUGGGAGCUGGAAGGUACCCAGCCAUGUUCCUCUUCCCCCAGCACAUGGGCAUCUUGGGAAGGACAGUGGCUGCAGCUUCUUCUGGGGGGCUUCUCUGCUGAGAGCCUCCCACUGUGAACCCAUGGCAGGUAGGGCUGGUGGGAGCCUGGGGUUGCAUCUCUGUAAGAGGCUUUCUUGGAUAUUGUGUCUGAGCAGGGCACAGGCUGCUCUGCAUUGUCACAGCUGAGUAAAUCAGUUGUUCUAUGAGGAUGAUGUACCAGAGAAUGGAGGUCAAUGAGAAUUUGCCUCAACAGAAUCUGAGGAAAGUAAAAAGGCAAGCCUACAACGAGGCAAAAAGCCCAGGGUGGGUGUACGUGCUCUGCCUGAAAUAGAGCAGCCAGAAUUGGAAACUGUGCUUCGGCCAAGUCCCUCAGAAAGGAGCUUUCCAGAGCGGCAUGGUGUGUGGUGGUUCUCACUGGGUCGGAAGGGAAAGCCUCCUGCUGACUGCUGCCUCCCUCUGAGCAACGCCCGACAAUUAAUGCUGCAGCAGGAAAUAGGUGGGAGAUUAACAAAGGGUUUGUUGCAGAGCGGAUUGUGUGGCCCUGUCAAAAGCAGCUGUAAUUCCCACCCAGCCUGAUUAUUUUUGCCAUGGACUAGCCUUGUUACUUGCUUCCCCUUUCAAAUAAGGUUAACACCUUCAAAAAUUCGGAACUUGCUAGAGACUUAGAGUCUGCUGGGGAGAGUAGUUUCUACCUCCCCUGGGGAUUUCUGUACAGUGUUUGGAUUUGGCAGGGUUCAAGGGUAGAAGGGAUCCUGGUCUUUAGACUAGGAGGGAGACAAAGACAACUGACGAAGAGCAGCAUUUCAGCCUGGGAUGGGCCCAUUUGUCAUUGCCAGGUACCUGUUAGAUCUUGCAUUCCCUGGGAGAGAAUUUGUUAAAAAAUGAAAAGCUUUCUGGUGUCUGAAGAUCAGUGGAGCCCGAAGCAGGAGAUUUUGUGUGCCUGACCAACCUCAGAUAACUUAAAAAUGUAGAAGCUGCAGCAUAAAUCACUUACAACCCAAGAGCCAGUCACUGUUUCACACCAAAAACUGUGUCCUAUUCCCUGGCACCAAUAAAGCCUCAGGUUUGUGUUCCCCAACUCCCAUGCUGCCACUUGCUGCUGGCCCAGCACCAGAGGAGAGGUACAAAGUCUGUGGCAACUGUUUGUGGUUAAACAUGGUCAUUGGAGAAGUACUGGGACUUCCAGUGGCCUGCAGCCUAUGCUGUCUCUGACUCCACAAGGCACCCAUGCCCUCCUGUGAAACUUUUGUCCCAGGUUUGGAGAGCCUGAGGACCAGAAGAGUCCCAUGGGCACUGGAAUUCACAUAACUAAUGCUAAAUCGUCUUAAAAUGUAAUGUGUGUGCUUCCUGGCAGCUUGUAACCUGGGGUUUAUAUCCUGGCAUGGUGGGGGGAAGGUCGAACACCUUCUCUUCUUGGGGCACCUGACAAGGUGUUGCCCCAUGUGGGUGCUGGGAGGGUGCUGUUGGCAGUACUAUUGGAAAAGAGCUCACCAGAAUUGGGCUCAGGUCAACCAAUGGCUGGGUGGGAGCACAGGCUGUGCUGGGGCAGGGCAGGACAGUGGCUGCAGGGCAGGAGGGGUCUCUGAGCUUGAGGGGCUGUGGGUCUGCAAGGGGCAACUUGUGGCAACGGUGUGGGAGCGGGGUUGUGGACUCAGAGCCCUUCUCCUUGUUCUUCAUUUCACUGUGGCUUAUCCACUGGGUAGUUGGCAUUGCAGUCACAAACUGUACAUGGCAGACCCCCCUGGACAGGUGGGCCAGGGAAGCUUUAUUCACCAUCUCUGCACUCAUGUUGGGAGCCCAAAAUCAUAUGUGGCUGCAGCUCCACCCAGACAGAGCUGUUUAUUUUUGAAGCAUCUGGGAGAUGCUGUGAGAGAGGACCCCCUGGAAGUUUGAGAAAUGUUGCUGUAUCAAUGUGCGACCGGAGAAGCCAAAGCCACUGAAGCAGAGCAGGCUUGCUCAGCCCUGGACAAGCUGGAGCAUGGCCUGUCAGCCUCUCUUCCCUGGCCUGACCACUAGAUGGAGAUGUCCCUUCCAGAGCUGUGAAGAACGCAGGUACUCAGGAAAAUACAGUUCUCGCUGAAGGACCUGUCAGUGAAAGCGAAGACGUUCUUCCUCCUGGUUUCACAAGUCGAAUCUGGACAGUGGUAUGGGAAGAGGCUUCUUGUUUUAGCAAUAAUGUACGAGGAGCAGCUUUUAGAAGAAUUCCUCAUUUUGAGCCAUCUCCGUUUACCAAGUGCCCUCUCUCCCAUGUGCAGAAGUAGUGCAGUAAAUUGGUUCAGAGAGCCCAAACAUCUCACUUGCUACUCUUCAGGGUGCUCUGCAAGUCAUGGGGAGCCCAGAGGUGACCACUUUUGCAAUAACACUCGUGCAGCUCUAACAGAGUGCACAUGAUCUGUGGCGUAGGAGUGAUGACAUCUCUAAGGCCUAGAGCAGCUGAUUUUCAGCCACCUGCCCCCUGCAUCUGGCAGCUUGCUUCACUCUGCUUCAGAAUCAAGGAUCAUAAAUACAGAUUCUUCUCUGUCUAGAUACUUAAUUUUGCUUAGAAAAGGAUUCUUGAAUUUGGAGGGUGGAAAAAGAAGGCAAAAGUAUUGCUGUGACUUCAGAUGUGCCUGGUGGCUAUUCUUUCUCACUGCUUUAAUGUACAUUCGACCUUACUUGCUUUUUCUCCCUGGACUCAUUCUUCAAGUAGAAGGGUAGCAAUGACUUCAACUUCAAUCCAGUCUUCCCUUCCCCCUUUCCCUCCUUUUUUCCAAGAACUGACAGUGAGAUCAGACAAAAACUCUGAAUCAGUGUCCAGUCAUACAUUGGUAUGCCUGUCACUAAUGUUUUGCAGAGCUUCAAGCUGAAAUGGUUGAAGUUGCUCUGAGUUACUGCAGGAGGAUCUGCAGCUCCAAUCCUUUGAGCAGCAAAUUCUGGAGGUGCUGUGCCUCUUGAAGCCCAACAAUAAAUAGUGGCAAAUAUGCAAA